rnacentral:tRNA from 1 species
GAGACCCUAGUAAAACUAUUAUAUUGCUUUGUCGAAGCAAAGUUGCAAGUUAAAAACCUGCGGAUCUUA